GAUUAUUCAUUACAAAGCUCAUGGUUUUAUAUUUAUACCCUGGAGCAAGCUAACAUCCUAAUCGGUUACGACAUGAACCAUUACAAUGAGUCUAAAACUAUUAAAGAUAAAUCUCCACGCUUUCCCUUAUUUGGUGAGUUUGAUUUCGCCUUGAAUCGGAUUCCUUCUGACUUUCUAUCAGCUUCUAUAAUCUCGUCGUCCACAGUUAGCCUUGGUCAAAGACAAGUGUCAAUAGACUCUUUUGCAAUUUCAUGGGCUAUCAGAACCUUAUCUUCAUCGAUUGACUCUAGUCAAAAACUGGUGUCAACAUUAGCUCAUCCUCCAAUUAUAAAGAAUUGGCUGAAAAGUUCGAUGUGGUCUAAGACCAAAAUGAUGAGCUAAAUAAGAAAAUUGAGAUCCUUGAACAAGCCAAAACUAUCUCUAACAAUGCAUCCACACCUUUUCAUGAUAAACUUAAAAACUAUGACUCUACUUCCUGCAUUGAUUUAAUUGAUAAAUCUUCC
rnacentral:lncRNA from 1 species